CCUACGGGAGGCAGCAGUGAGGAAUAUUGGUCAAUGGACGAGAGUCUGAACCAGCCAAGUAGCGUGAAGGAUGACUGCCCUAUGGGUUGUAAACUUCUUUUAUAAAGGAAUAAAACGAGGCACGUGUGCCUUUUUGCAUGUACUUUAUGAAUAAGGAUCGGCUAACUCCGUUCCAGCAGCCGCGGUAAUACGGAGGAUCCGAGCGUUAUCCGGAUUUAUUGGGUUUAAAGGGAGCGUAGAUGGGUUGUUAAGUCAGUUGUGAAAGUUUGCGGCUCAACCGUAAAAUUGCAAUUGAUACUGGCAGUCGUGAGUACAGUUGAGGUAGGCGGAAUUCGUGGUGUAGCGGUGAAAUGCUUAGAUAUCACGAAGAACCCCGAUUGCGAAGGCAGCUUACUAAACUGUGACUGACAUUGAUGCUCGAAAGUGUGGGUAUCAAACAGGAUUAGAUACCCUGGUAGUC
rnacentral:rRNA from 1 species